rnacentral:rRNA from 1 species
AUUGAACGCUGGCAGAAUGCUUUACACAUGCAAGUCGAACGGUAACAGGUCUUCGGAUGCUGACGAGUGGCGAACGGGUGAGUAAUAUAUCGGAACGUGCCCAGUCGUGGGGGAUAACGUAGCGAAAGUUACGCUAAUACCGCAUACGAUCGAUGGAUGAAAGCGGGGGAUCGCUAGACCUCGCGCGAUUGGAGCGGCCGAUAUCGGAUUAGGUAGUUGGUGGAGUAAAGGCUCACCAAGCCAACGAUCUGUAGCUGGUCUGAGAGGACGACCAGCCACACUGGAACUGAGACACGGUCCAGACUCCUACGGGAGGCAGCAGUGGGGAAUUUUGGACAAUGGACGCAAGUCUGAUCCAGCCAUUCCGCGUGCAGGAUGAAGGCCCUCGGGUUGUAAACUGCUUUUGUACGGAACGAAAAGGUCUCUCCUAAUACGAGGGGCUCAUGACGGUACCGUAAGAAUAAGCACCGGCUAACUACGUGCCAGCCGCCGCCGUAAAAC